rnacentral:rRNA from 1 species
UUCUGAAUGGAAGGGCCAUCGCUCAACGGAUAAAAGGUACUCCGGGGAUAACAGGCUGAUACCGCCCAAGAGUUCAUAUCGACGGCGGUGUUUGGCACCUCGAUGUCGGCUCAUCACAUCCUGGGGCUGAAGUCGGUCCCAAGGGUAUGGCUGUUCGCCAUUUAAAGUGGUACGCGAGCUGGGUUUAGAACGUCGUGAGACAGUUCGGUCCCUAUCUGCCGUGGGCGUUGGAAGAUUGAAGGGGGCUGCUCCUAGUACGAGAGGACCGGAGUGGACGAACCUCUGGUGUUCGGGUUGUGUCGCCAGACGCAUUGCCCGGUAGCUAAGUUCGGAAUCGAUAACCGCUGAAAGCAUCUAAGCGGGAAGCGAGCCCUGAGAUGAGUCUUCCCUGAUACUUUAAGUAUCCUAAAGGGUUGUCGGAGACUACGACGUUGAUAGGUCAGGUGUGUAAGUGCUGUGAGGCAUUGAGCUAACUGAUACUAAUUGCCCGUGAGGCUUAACCAUACAACACCCAAGGGGUUU